CACGUAGGGGGGCAAGCGUUGUCCGGAUUUAUUGGGCGUAAAGAGCUCGUAGGCGGUUCGGUAAGUCGGGUGUGAAACCUCCAGGCUCAACCUGGAGACGCCACCUGAUACUGCUGUGACUUGAGUCCGGUAGGGGAGCGUGGAAUUCCUGGUGUAGCGGUGAAAUGCGCAGAUAUCAGGAGGAACACCAAUAGCGAAGGCAGCUCGCUGGGACGGUACUGACGCUAAGGCGCGAAAGCGUGGGGAGCGAACAGG
rnacentral:rRNA from 1 species